GAUGAACGCUGGCGGCGUGCCUAAUACAUGCAAGUCGAGCGAACGGACGAGAAGCUUGCUUCUCUGAUGUUAGCGGCGGACGGGUGAGUAACACGUGGAUAACCUACCUAUAAGACUGGGAUAACUUCGGGAAACCGGAGCUAAUACCGGAUAAUAUUUUGAACCGCAUGGUUCAAAAGUGAAAGACGGUCUUGCUGUCACUUAUAGAUGGAUCCGCGCUGCAUUAGCUAGUUGGUAAGGUAACGGCUUACCAAGGCAACGAGGCAUAGCCGACCUGAGAGGGUGAUCGGCCACACUGGAGCUGAGCCACGGUCCAGACUCCUACGGGAGGCAGCAGACGGGAAUCUUCCGCAGUGGGCGAGAGCCUGACGGAGCAGCGCCGCGUGAGUGAUGAAGGUCCUCGGAUCGUAAAGCUCUGUUAUGAGGGAAGAACAUAUGUGUAAGUAACUGUGCACAGCUUGACGGUACCUAAUCAGAAAGCAACGGCUAACUACGUG
rnacentral:rRNA from 1 species